UCGUCAAUGACAAGCUGUUCCAAUCACACAGCUCGGACACCAAGCGGACCGGACAACGGACAGCCCAGGCCUCCUCCCUCUGACUGGGAGGAAGCCAACUGAGCACGUCUGGGGAAGUGAUCCCCCACCGCAAGCCCCCCACUCACCCUCCAUAUUUGAUCUGACAGCAGUGCUCUAUCCUGGCCGGUAGCCUUCCCUGCAACCAGCUCGCACAACUCUGACCAACUACCCUCGUGGCCUUCAGGUGAGGCACUGCUCUCUCUCCUGUCCCAAAGCACAAGGAAACCCCAAACCAAGCAGGAGACCACCGGCGCACCACUUCUCCAGAGGACCAGACAGAGUGAGCUGAAAACCAAGUACUCACUGUGGUGAAGUCUUGGUGGCCGCACUCCUGCCCUUUGAACUUGCAGUAGAGCAUCAUAUCCUUCAGGUCAUGGCCCACACGGUGCAGGAACUCCAGCAUGCUGAACUGCUUGGGUUUGUAGUGCUUGAAGUUGGCCUUCUGCCGCAGGGCCUCCAGCACGGAGGGGUCAGCCAGAUGGGGGUCCGGGAUCUGCAGGUUGACAUCCAGCAGGGCCAGCAGCUCCCCAGCAUGGUACAGGUCAUUGGUGGUGAGCCUGGAGAACCGGAAGCCAUUCAGGUUACAGAGGGUCACAGCUGGGAAGACCAGGCUUUGAGCCACCACUUCGUCCACCUUAGUGACAUGCUGGUAGGAGAAGUAGUAGGACACCCUCUCAGAGCUCUCCACCAGCAGCAGGCCCAGAGAGCCCACGAAGGCCACUGCCCACAGCACACGCCGGAUGGUCAGCGGCCCAUACACGAAGAUGUGGCGGAUGCCAUGGAGGGUGGAGGUGUUGGCAAAGAUCUGGAUGCUAGAAGGUUGCAGGCUGCCCUCACUGGGGCUUUCCUUGAGGUCCAUCGGGACCCCGUGCAGUUCCGCAACUGGCUUCAGGUUGAUCGAAUUUCAGAGAAGAGCUCCCAGUCCUCGGGCUCUGCUUAAACCUUGACGUUCAGGGGAGAGAACGCAAGGCAAGCAUCGCGCCAGAUGCUGUGAGUUUAUCCUGAGAGCCCAGCCGCACGCUGACAGGGCUCCAGGCCCUCUCCUACAGGAAGACUUCCUGGAUUAAUCUGCUAAUCUUCAGCUCAUCCACCUGUUUAAUAGGCAAAACCUACAGAACUAGUCCACACUGAGUGGACCUCUGGGGCUCCCAGCUGCCGAUUGACCUGAACCCCAGAGUGAACUCGUGUUGCUUUGUGGCUUCAGGAAACCUUGGAACAUCUCUGUGCUGUUUUUUCAUUUGUGCUCAAUCAUUCCUGAGGCCUCCUCCUCCUGCUGCAAUUUGACAAGACUUGACCAAAUCAUUAACUCCCAGUUAAUGGGAUAAAAUGAGUUUGAAUCUGGGAUUCUGGUCAUUAACCCCAUGUCACCAUCUGCUCCAGCAGUUUGAUGGCAGGGCUAGGUGAAUUCUAAUCACCCAACACUUGUUAAACUGCUGAUUCCUGCUUCCCCACCUCUGCUGACUCAGCAUCUCUGGGGUGGGGCCUGCAAAGGCUCUCUUCCUUGACGGGGUUAUUGAGGGCAGCUCUAGGAACCCACCCAGGACCAGACCUGAUGAGGAGUUCCUCCUAUGCAUCAGGUAUGCUGGGUCGGUUUGCGGAGUUUCAUAACUUGCAUUUUCCUCUGCCUGGAGAGUUCCUUGCAGCUGGCUUCUUCUGUGUCACGGCCCCACAGAGAUCUUGGCUGGUCUCCCUAUCUCCACCCUCCACCAUGCUCACUAUUCCAUUACAAGUUUCCUUUUCUACCCAGUACUAAUCAUUUUCUGCAAUUCAUCUCAUUUCCUUGUGAACUAUCUGUUGGUCCUACCAGAAUGUAAGUCUCCACCUGGGGGCAGAGACCCUGCCUGGCUUGUUAGAAGCCAUAUCCCCAGGAUUGAAGC
rnacentral:lncRNA from 1 species